UGUGUAGGCGGUGAUUUAAGUUUGGUGUGAAAUCUCCCGGCUCAACCGGGAGGGUGCGCCGAAUACUGAAUGACUUGGAGUGCGGGAGAGGAAAGUGGAAUUCCUGGUGUAGCGGUGAAAUGCGUAGAUAUCAGGAGGAACACCGGUGGUGUAGACGGCUUUCUGGACCGUAACUGACGCUGAGACACGAAAGCGUGGGUAAGCAAACA
rnacentral:rRNA from 1 species